GGUACAGCUCAAGGGGUAGAGCGCGUGCUUAGCAUGCACAAGGUUCUGGGUUCAAUCCCCAGUACC
rnacentral:tRNA from 1 species